rnacentral:lncRNA from 1 species
AAAUUUGUUUCUUAUAUUGUUACAACUAUUUUUUUUAUUCUAAAACACUUCCCAUAUUACACAUUUUUGUCAUUCGAAUCACAUAACCUCACUAAAUUAAUAUCAUAACAAAGAAAUAUCAUCGAUACAACUAAAGUAUAAGUACAUAUAGUAUCGAUUCAUUCAAUCGAUUACUCGUAAAUGAAGCACAAGUAUUGACUUGUUCUCGAUUGAUCUCGAAAAAAAUAAGUGGCAAAACGAUUUUUAAUGAACUUCAUUAAAUUAACAUUUUAACGGAAAAUAUCAUCGAUACAACUAAAUGUGAAUUUUUCGCGAGAAUGCUGUUGGUGUUAUUUGUCAAGCGUGACCGAAGGAAAGAGCAGCGGUUUCGAAUGAGAAAAUUUAUGGGUCGCAAUGUGUCGACGGAAACCUUAAAUUUUAACGUCCCUGUCGCGUACUCGGUUGCGUCCUGCCUUGCCUGUUAAGAACCUUGCGAAGGGGGAUUACGAGUUGACUGCCACGAAGCGAACGUGGAACAUCAAGGGGUGGUUCCACUCUCUCCACGGUGGGGGAGAAUCAGAAGUAUGGUGGUGGUUCUAUGGUAGGGAGAUGUGUAGACGGUGCCACAGGAAAAGGUGUAGGGAAGAGGCGCACGUUGCUCCUUCUUCCUUCCUGAUGCUUUGCUUGUGUCUCUUCCUACGCUGAAUAUUUUUCUUUUUGUGUUGCUCGAAAUAAAUAAAUCGGGUUUAACCGUUUGUGUCAAACGAGCAUAAUAGAUAAAGAGACAAAUCAAUGGGGCUGUCGAGUCGGCGGUCGCUGUUUGAUGUCAAGAAAGAGCUCGACCUGCUCAGAUUCAGCUAUCUCGAUGUCGUCGCCGACAACGGCAUCCUACUGCGAUAACGCCAUUAUGCGAAUUCGAGAUUUGCAUAUUUCAGAAAGUGCUGCACAGGAAAGCAUAAACAACUCUGGUCGCUCUGCGCAACGAGAGCGUUGUGGCUUCCUCGUCAGAAGAGUUACACGCAUGGAAGAUUUACGGAGAAUCCAACGGUUUUCCUUUUCCCUUCCUCCACCUUUUUUCCACUUUUUUCCCCCGUCGUUUUUUUGCUAUCUUUGUUAUUUUUUUUUUCCCCUCUUUGUUUUUAUUUAUUUAUUUUGUUUUUUUUUUGUAGGAAAUCUCUUCUCUACACUCUGUAUUCAGACAGUAAAUGCAUGGUGACGCGAAAUGGAAAUUGGUUGAAUACCUUAAGAUGAUCAUUUUUGGAAUGGAGGACGAAAGAAACCGGUCCAACAAUUUAAACUAACUUGCGGUUUUCGGAUUGAAUCCUAACUAUAUUAAUAUUUGGACAACCAUCUUUUGGCAUUGUUAAUUGAUGCAUCUUGAAAUAGGCAGAAAAUAAGAUCUGAUAUUUCAAUAAUUUCACAGUGUGAAGUAUUGAAGAUUAUUGAAUUUUAUAGUAUUAUAAAUAUUUAAUUCAGAUUAAUGCUGGUUUUAAUCCAAUCAAUAUGAAUUCAAGACAAGAAUACCAUUUAAGUGCUGACAACCAAGCAAAACAGUAAGCAUGAGACCACCAACAGAUAAGAGUUGUGGUCGGGUAGAUCGCGUUUUCCACGCAUUUUAAUGCGAAUGGUCGCUUAUCAGGACAGCGUAAAGCGUUUCAAUGCUAGUUUCACCGCGUAAAUGGUGGAACGCGCGAAAACCGCGCGUCACUUACAUAAGUAAUAUAAUUGAUUCGUUACAAGCGCUCCUACACGUUGCAGAUAAGUUUAUCUGCAACACGCAUCGACGAAACCGGUUAGAUAACGAGCACUGCUACAUCAUAUAAUAAGCUUUAAUUAUUCGGAUAAUGAGGCUCGCCAUCCUCUUCUAAUGACAAAUAGCACCGCUUCACCCAUAAGCCACUGCGCACUACACAUAAAAUCCGCACGUCGGAACUUUCAAACGAAAAAUGACACUGGUCUCCGAAUCUUUCCUCGAAUCUUUUAUAUUACGAUUUAAUCUACUCUCUUAUCACCCAUUAUAUCUAGUUACUUCAAUACGCCUUACGUUUACCUUAAAGGAAUAUAAUCGGAAAAAUAUCUUCAUAAGAUGAUUGGAGAUUGAGAGAGAAUACGAAGUGACUUAAAUAAUCCCGAACAAAGUUAUUAAAUUAAUUGAAAAAUAAAUUGAUCUUGGAUAACAAAUAACAAAAAGUCCAACAUUAACAUCUAAUUUCUUACAAACACAUUUUAAUAAACUCGUCACACUGGUGCACGAGCCAACGAGUUAAGACUUAAGGAGGACACCUUUCCAACUUGAAUUUCAAUUUUCACGCGAUAGUCCAUAAAGCAUCCGAGAAAAGAAGGAGGAGCCUAAGCGAGCGAGAGUCCUAAGGGCGAUCAAGCGAAAAGAAAGGAAGCUGGAUGAUAUACCGGUGGAUCCACGUUCCACGCCGGAUAUUUACGUGUAGCCCGAUGGCCGAACUGCUGUCGAACAUCGGGUUUUACAGCGUCGAGCAACGGCGUAUCGUGGACAUCAUCGAGAGCCAAGGAUCCGGCGACUGGUUACACGCAAGUAGAUGGAUGAAGGUGGCUGGAACAAGGUGGCGGCUGAUGGGUGUAAAUUCGAGAUACGAUCUUCUCUCUUCUGUGUCCCUUUCCAAACGGAUUUACCGACUGCUGCGCAUUCUGCCUGCUUGGUUUUACUUGGUUUUUAAUUAUCCCCAGGGUUUCCGAGACAAAGGCGUCGCCGCCGUUGUUAGCCAGAUAUGAUGCAUCGGCAUUAGAGAAGUUGAAGAAUUUUAGGAAUGAACCGUGAUUCGAUACGUGAAUGCCUUUCUGAAUUGUUGUUUGAAAGAAAUUUGAUGGAAGAGAAGAUAAGGGGACGAGAAUCAAUCCAGUCAGAGUUUUUUAAUUUAUAAAUUGAUAGAAGCAUUGAAUGUUUGGAGGAAAGAUGAGGAAUUUCAGAAGAGAUAUAUAGAUAUAUCCUUAUCUCCGCGUCGGGACAAAUUAGCACCCCGACUGUGUGUUCGGUUGAAACCUGUUCGCUGGAAUCUGCAAAUUACCUUUUCUGCCGCCUCGAUAUAAAGGACGCCGGACAUUCGGAAUGGUGCGAGCGAGCCUUUUACGCCAGCGAUCUUGCACGAGUGUUGCAAGUACAAAUGAGCGAAUUUACGUUUCGACUAUUGCUGCCGGAUUCAUGUUAAGGAAGUAGCAAUAGAUUUUCAUAAUCUUCAAUACGUGUUAUUAGAUCUUUUUAUUGAUAGAUAAGUUUUAUCAUCGAGACUCGAUUAUUGUCUUUUUAAUGAAAAUAGAAGGGAUUCUUUAUAAGGGAUUACAAGAGUAUAGCCUUUAAAGUUUCUUUCCUCUUUUCUUUUUCAUAAUCGAGCAACAUAGAUUGACUUUUUCACUGUUUCAGGAGUCGAAAACACGACAAAAGUGACGAGAGCAAAUCUUUUGAGAACCAUCUUUUUAGCCAAGAGAAAGGAUAUAAAACACUGUUAUUCGCACAAUUCGCGAUAUUGGAGUCAGUUGAAGCUUCCAAUACUUUUAUUGAAGAUUUUGACAUAGAGUCAUGAUAGAAAAUAUUUAUAAUGUCAUCUUAUUUAAAUUGGACGUUUUCUUGGUCAUUUUAGAUGAACCAGUUUCUUCUUUCUGUAAUUAUUAUGAUAUUUAUUUCUUUCUUCAAUUAUAAUAAAUCCUUUUAUUUGUUUUUGAUUGUAGGAAAUAGAGAGGAAAGUAUUGAACAAGAUUGAUUAGUGAUACUCUUGAGUAUCCAUUUCAAGACAGACUCUUAAGUGAAUAUUGGAACAACAGCUUUAUUGUUGUGUGCUGUUAAACGCUUGAAAAGAUUUAGGAUUUUUCUCCCUUUCUUUUUAUCUUGUUCACUGCGAAUCUAGUUUACCAAGAUUAUACCUAAGGAUAGUUCUAUGCAAUACCAAAAGGAUUCUACCGACAACUAAGAAAAAUCCUAGAGAUAAGCUUAUUGCGACAAUAUUUGUCGUAGUUUCCCAUUCAGGCGGAGGGCAAGUUUGAAGAGAUUAUCUAUUAAUUAUAGAUCCCUGUAAAUCCUGUUUUUCGCGUGACCAAGUUUCCUUUUCCUUGAGUGAUUCGUUUAUCUCGAUGAAAGAGAAUUGGGAAAAAGAUGGGUAGCAAGCCAUAGUUGAGGAGAUAUCUAGGAGAAGAUCUAAGAAAGAAGAUCUAAUAUUCAUUGAAUGAUAGUUAGAAUCAGUUGAACUCGAUGAAUUCUAAGAAGUUUUCAACAUGGACGAGCAGCAGAAGAGACACUGAUUCCCUGGUGCUGAAGAUUACGACAAUGAGAUAUAUCAUUUAUCGAAUAAUCAUGCUUCCUAUUCUUGCAAUUCCUAUAAUUUCGAAAUAGAAGAAUUCUAUUAUCUGUACUCCAAUCCAUAAAACAGAAAAUAACAAAAAAGAAUUUUUAAUUAUAAUAAAAAUGAUAAAAAUAUAUUAUUUACUUCAUAUAUUAUUGUUAGAUUUCAUUUCAAUUCUCAUCAAGAAGAAACUUACUAUUUGCUUUUGUACGAAUGGUCUCUGAACGGCCAAUUGAUUGUUUCACGCAGAAAGAUAAUAAUUACAAUUGUCUAAAUGAAUUAAUAUCAGGAUUCAAGUAUUGUACUGGUAAAUUCAAUCACAGGGAACUCGCGUGCCCAUGAUAACGAGGAAUCGGGGAAAGGAAAAGCAUUCGUUUAGCCGGCCGUUCCUCAUCGUUCUUUCGUACGGUGUUGUUGUCAAUCGUCGAAACGAAUUUUCGACAGAGGACGCAAAGAGGACCGAUGUCGGGCCCCCUGCUGGGGUAUCGGUUACGCUUAAACCGCGUUUAGGGCUCUCGAAUGCCGGCUUUUUGAGACCGUGACAGCAACCCGAUUGUUGUAGUGAUGGAUUGAAGAAACAACGAAUCAUCAUUGAGUUCUUUUUGUUUUUAACCGUUAGUAGAAUGUGGGAAAUUGUUUAUGAACAGUACAAGAUGCUGAAGAAAGGGAAAGAUAUAGAAUGUGUAUCUAUAUAGACUAUUAGAGGAAGAAAUAUAAAAAUUUUAAUACUGUUA